GUGAACGAGGUGUGGGCAGUGUAGAAGCCGUCUGUGCCGGAGCAAACGCGAUAAGUUCACCGCCUGGGGAGUACGGUCGCAAGGCUAAAACCCAAAGGAAUUGACGGGGGCCCGCACAAGCAGCGGAGCGUGUGGUUUAAUUCGAUGCAACGCGAAGAACCUUACCUGGGCUUGACAUGUACGUAGUAGUGAAGGGAAACCGGAACGAGCCUUCGGGCAGCGUAGACAGGUGCUGCGUGGCUGUCGUCAGCUCGUGUCGUGAGAUGUUGGGUUAAGUCCCGCAACGAGCGCAACCCGUGUUGCUAGUUACAAGUGUCUAGCGAGACUGCCGGUAACAAGCCGGAGGAAGGUGCGGAUGAUGUCAAGUCAGCAUGGCCUAUAUGUCCAGGGCUACACACACGCUACAAUGGCUGGUACAAAGAGAAGCGAAAGGGAGACCUGAAGCGAAUCUCAUCAAAGCCAGUCAUAGUUCGGAUUGCAGGCUGCAACUCGCCUGCAUGAAGUCGGAGUUGCUAGUAACCGCAGGUCAGCAAUACUGCGGUGAAUACGUUCCCGGGCCUUGUACACAC
rnacentral:rRNA from 1 species